rnacentral:rRNA from 1 species
UACGUAGGGUGCAAGCGUUGUCCGGAAUUAUUGGGCGUAAAGAGCGUGUAGGCGGCCAUACAGGUCAGCUGUGAAAACUCGAGGCUCAACCUCGAGACGUCGGUUGAAACCGUACGGCUAGAGUCCGGAAGAGGAGAGUGGAAUUCCCGGUGUAGCGGUGAAAUGCGCAGAUAUCGGGAAGAACACCCGUGGCGAAGGCGGCUCUCUGGGACGGUACUGACGCUGAGACGCGAAAGCGUGGGGAGCGAACAGG